CUCUCCAUCACUGUGGAUCAGCUAUCGGAUUUGGUUCACGACGGCGAAAUCGCCUAUAUUCUCGUGGGGCGCGGCGCAAAGCGGCCUCGGCGUCGAUACACCGAGGGGGACCUUGAUGAUUUCAUUGAUCGACGUCGCAGGCGGGAAGCAUGUCAGUCUACAAGCCCCAAAAGUCGCCUUUCUACCAAUACGACUUCCAAUUCGCUGGUCGUCGGUUUUUCGGCUCUACGGAGUGCACGGCUCGAAAAGAAGCUGAGAAGUUCG
rnacentral:misc_RNA from 1 species